rnacentral:lncRNA from 1 species
CAUGCUCAGAGGCCCUGUAGUAGGGACCCUAUAGUGACUCGGCCUUGGGUCAGCCUGUUGGAUCUGUUUCUUCCUGAUACACAACACUUGGAAGAGGCUGACAUUCCAAUAAUGUGAAGCCGUGUAUGCAUGCUGCAACGUUGUUGUAAAUGCAAGAUACUGGAAACAUUUUAAGUGCACAUACGAGAGGUGGUGAAGCGAUUGUGUGCACCCACCCAAGGGAGUGCUGUGCAGCUGUGAAAAAGAGCAAGGGUGGUCUCUGUGGACGUCUGUGGGUGAGUCCUGGGAAACACUGCUAAGCCAGAAUGUUACUCUGUGUGGGAUAAAGGAAGAAGCAUAAGAAGAUGUACCUGUAUUUGGUCAUGGUACAAAGCAUGCUGAAAGGCUGAAGCAGAAGCUAAUGAGAGUCUAGGGGCAAGUGGAUUGGGGCUGAAGCAGAGGCAGAAUGGCGGGAGGCUUCUCCAGGGGCACUGUCUGUGCACAGAUCUGCCUCUUGGAGCCGUGUUAAGGUUUCCAGUACUGAAAAAAGAAGGGAGGGAGAGGGGGCGGGGACGGGGAGGAGAGGGAGAGGAAGGAGGAAAAGGAAAGGAUGCCAACAAGGAUAUGGAAAACAAUCUUAAGGUGGGAAGCAAGUAGGAAGAAAUGAAAUGUAUUUGAGAUGAAGCACACCUUCCCCUCACAGAAAGGAGGCGUGAGGGGCACUAAGCCCAGUGACAACAACGGUAUUUCACUAGGGACGGAAGAACCCUAGAGAGUCUGAAGUGUGGCUGGAGAGUAGGUUUCUGUAGUGUGGAUGGAUAGAAUAGCAAUUGUUGCAGUCAAGGUCUGCAAGGGAAAUAGAUUGAAUACAGGACACAUAAUUUAUAGGACUAUUUUAUAACAUUAACCCAAAAAGUCAAAUGCAGAGGAGUGCAAGAGGUCUAGCCGAACACUAGAGACGCAAAGAAUCUAGCCAAGGGCCUGGAUCCCACAGUAAUGUCCCACACAAGUCCAGCUGAAGGGCAAGCGUUCAAGGUAAUGUCCUGCAGAAGUCCAGCCAGAGCAGUCUAGAGCCCAUGACAAUGCCUCAUGCAAGUCAGUAUUGAGGAUUUGCACUAGGAAGGCCCAAAGGCCAGUGGCGGAAGCCAGAAAGUCUACACCAGUGCAGUGAAGGAUUGGUGCCACCACGCUGAGGGAUCUACAUUGGAGCCAGGAAGCGAUGUUCAUGGCAAAGAUCAGGGUACCCCUGAUGAGGACAGCAGCCAUUCCCAGUGACAUUGAGGACCCAAGCUCCUCCUAGGAUGAGAGAACAGCUAAGUUCACAUCGGGAAAACCACCCAGGCAAGCUUCUCUUGAAAAAUUAGCAGCCUACAAUCUUCUCCUCCAGUUCUCUUUUUAUAUCAUUGUUGGUGGGUCUUCCAUACCCAACCACACUGAUUCAGUUCAGCUGGGUGUUCCAAGUUGACCAUUAAUUAAUCUACCACAGCAAUUCUGAAAAUACUGUGUAUUAUGGGAUUGGGCAAAUCAAUGAAUAUGUUGUGUAAAAUGGCAGUCAGGCUUUUCAUCAAAGAGAAGCAAGAUAGAAAGAUGGAAAAGAGGAGGAGCUAAUGCUGGGUGCUGCAGUGUUGAACUGGAAUUGGAGGUACUCUUGGGUUUUAUCAUACAUGGGCAUAUCCCUGUACAGUGUAUAUGUACAGUGUGUAUAUAUGCACACAUACGCAUUUACACUUCUAUAAACACUAAAUAUUUAUAUUUAGGUAUAUAUGUACUUGUAUACACCUGUGUAUGUAUAACUAUGUGUGUAUAUGUGUAUUUCUAAAUCUAUUGAAAGGAAAACAUGGUAAGAUGUUUAUAUGUGGGGCAUCUGGGUAAAACAUUAAUGGGAAUUCUUUGUACAAUUCUUGCAAAAUUUUGUACAUCUGAAAUUAUAUCAUAGUAAAAAUGUGAAAAGAAAGAAGGCAAAGCAGUUGCCCAUGAGAGUUGAUGCGGAGAUGUGACCUGGGUCCCUCAAGGCCCCAUGUGACCCCAGUCUCCUCCUGGCCCAGUGUGGGUCGCCCCAGGAGCUCCCCAUUCAGGGCAGUGCUGGGCAGGUGUUUCGUAAGCUCUUCUCCUUCACCCACAGGUGGGGCCCUCAGUGGGGUGCAAGGAGCAGGAAGAGAAGGAAGGGAGCCCUCUGUGGAGCUGAGCCCUGCCCCUGGGGUAUCCCAGCUGCUGCUGGAGCCCAAGGAGAGAAACCUUGUUGGUCUCGGUGUGGAUGCAGGUGUGGUCCAGCCUUUGAGGGGUGUCCUCAGGCUGCUCUCCGGAUCUCUUGCAGCAUGUGCAGAGAGGCUUCUCAGGGUAAUAGAUCCUCCCUGUCUAGCCUCUGCUUUUUCUCAGAUGGGCAUCUCUUUCACAUGCAUCCUAUACUCAGAAACAUUGCUUCUCGGGAGUUUCAAAGAUGAUUCAAUUCAAUGGCAAAGGACAAAAGCACUGCACCACUCCCCCUUCUGCUGUUCCUCCCCUCUUUGUAUGUGAGUUGUGUUCAGCACUCCUGCUUUAGAAGCAUAAGCGAUUAAGAGUUGGCAGUGGUGUCAGGCAGAGCUGGGCUCAGAACUUCACCUGGCCUUGGACCUCAGUUCCCACCUGCACAAUGCCCCUGAUAAUAGCCUUGAGCCCACUGAGUGGCUUUGAGGAUUAGAGAAGCUAAGCAUGUAUGUGCUCAACACAGUGCUCAACAAGUGGGAGACAUCAGUAGCAGCAGCUCCAGAGACAAGGACAGAGAUGUGAUUCAGCAAAUCAUUGAGACCAUAUUGCUUUUUCUGAGGCCAAACUCAUCUCCCAGGGAAUUGCACUUAACCAGUGAGUGACUCUUUCAAUAAAAACAUGGGUUACUCUGCCCAGCACCUAGACAUUCCCAAGUCUCCCCUCGAAAACUGCCAUUUGGAGUCCUGGUACUGUAGUAAUGAGGAUGUGGGCCCAACUUCCGGGAGCAUUCCAAAUAAGAAACUUCCAGAACUUAAUUAUUUUAUGGUACAAAAGCUUCUUAUUCUUUUUGGAAAGUAAAAUUAUAUAUAAGUAUUUUCAAUGGACUUACUAUGCCAAAACUAUGCAUUAUCAACCUUGGAAAAAUACUCAUAGCUAUUUAUAUUGACUUGAAUCUCUCAUUUUUUUCUUGUGUUUGUUUGCUUGGGGUGGUGUGUGUGUGUGUGUGUGUGUGUGUGU